UUAAUUAAACAUUAAUUUCUUGAUUUCAGACUACCAAGUUCAGUCAGUACUAGUAGAUAGAGUUAAUUAAUUAAACAUUAAUUUCUUGAUUCCAGACGACAAGUUCCACAACAACUUGUACCUCCAGUAAUGCCUAAGUUAAUCUUCAAAAAAAACAUUUCUAUAUUGGAAAGCCCAAGUUGUUCUCAAAGAAUAUAUUCACUGGACUUAAAGACUGUGAGAACUUGCAGAGUACAGAAGAGAAUGAUAAUGUGUUUUAAAACAUUUCCUUCGAAUGUCUUCUUUGUUUUUUCUUUUCAUUGUUUUUCAUUCAUUCCAAGGAAGGCUUUGCAGUUGAGAGAACAGACUAGGCUGCUCUUAGUGCUGCGUUAAUACUUACUUCUGUUUCUACUUUGUUGUGAUAUGCAAAGAUUUGUUGUUUCAUUUUCGGUCAUUCCUUGAACGAAUGUGAUGUGCGCGUGAAGGGAGCCUGCUGUUGUGUCUUGGUAGCAAGAGAAGGGAAGUAAAUGCUUGUGAUGUUAAAGGUGGGAGUUAACUCCCCUUUGUAUUUGCACUUGGUGUAUGAGAGAUUUCAACAAAGCUAAGCACAAUCCCCACUUCAAGAGCUCUGAAAUUGUUUGCUAUUUGAAUAGGGGGCUCAUCAUAGCACCCCACUAUGUGACACUACAUUUGAGACCCACUCCAAUAGUGAUUCUCAUAAUACCAAAGUCAUUGCAGUCACACUUACUUCCCAAUCACUUGUGAAAACAACCCAAAUAAAAAAUAACUGCUGGUAUCCUCUUUGAUUCCAUUCCCUAGUUGUUGUUUUUUUAAUUCUAACCAAAGUUCAUCUACACAAAUAAAACCCAGAUUUAACUUUAAUAUUUUUUUUUUGUAGACAUACCUAGGAUAAAAUAUUUAUAACUGUGUAUUGUUGUGAAAGAGAAUAUUAUUAUCUUAUCUUAUUCUAAUUUUGUCAUAUUAUGUUUUUUUUUGCUCAGUAUGUUCAAGAAUCCUAAGUCGAGAGAUGGUUUAUCCUUAGAAAACAAAGGAUAUCAUAUAUAGUCUAUCUUAUGGGAUAGGCCUACCCUUAAAGACAAUAUGACCUAUCCCAAAGGGAUGAUACCUAUUCUAAAGUGGGGAUACAUGUUUCCACACAGACAUAGUUGCCAGAAUUGUUUAAAAGUGACUAGUCC
rnacentral:sRNA from 1 species